rnacentral:rRNA from 1 species
UACGGGGGGAGCAAGCGUUGUUCGGAUUUACUGGGCGUAAAGGGCGCGUAGGCGGCGUGACAAGUCACUUGUGAAAUCUCCGGGCUUAACUCGGAACGGUCAAGUGAUACUGUCGGACUAGAGUACAGAAGGGGCAACUGGAAUUCUCGGUGUAGCGGUGAAAUGCGCAGAUAUCAGGAGGAACACCGAUUGCGAAGGCAGCUCGCUGGGACGUUACUGACGCUGAGACGCGAAAGCGUGGGGAGCAAACAGG